GCACAACGCGAAGAACCUUACCUACUCUUGACAUCCAGAGAACUUAGCAGAGAUGCUUUGGUGCCUUCGGGAACUCUGAGACAGGUGCUGCAUGGCUGUCGUCAGCUCGUGUUGUGAAAUGUUGGGUUAAGUCCCGCAACGAGCGCAACCCUUAUCCUUUGUUGCCAGCGGUUAGGCCGGGAACUCAAAGGAGACUGCCAGUGAUAAACUGGAGGAAGGUGGGGAUGACGUCAAGUCAUCAUGGCCCUUACGAGUAGGGCUACACACGUGCUACAAUGGCAUAUACAAAGAGAAGCGACCUCGCGAGAGCAAGCGGACCUCAUAAAGUAUGUCGUAGUCCGGAUUGGAGUCUGCAACUCGACUCCAUGAAGUCGGAAUCGCUAGUAAUCGUGGAUCAGAAUGCCACGGUGAAUACGUUCCCGGGUCUUGUACACACCG
rnacentral:rRNA from 1 species